CCUACGGGAGGCUGCAGUGAGGAAUAUUGGACAAUGGUCGGAAGCCUGAUCCAGCCAUGCCGCGUGCAGGAUGACGGCCUUAUGGGUUGUAAACUGCUUUUGUAAGGGAAGAAUAAGAGCUACGCGUAGUUUGAUGACGGUACCUUACGAAUAAGCAUCGGCUAACUCCGUGCCAGCAGCCGCGGUAAUACGGAGGAUGCGAGCGUUAUCCGGAAUCAUUGGGUUUAAAGGGUCCGUAGGCGGGCUAAUAAGUCAGAGGUGAAAGCGCUCAGCUCAACUGAGCAACUGCCUUUGAAACUGUUAGUCUUGAAUGGUUGUGAAGUAGUUGGAAUGUGUAGUGUAGCGGUGAAAUGCUUAGAUAUUACACAGAACACCGAUAGCGAAGGCAUAUUACUAACAAUUAAUUGACGCUGAUGGACGAAAGCGUGGGGAGCAAACAGGAUUAGAUACCCGAGUAGUC
rnacentral:rRNA from 1 species